rnacentral:ncRNA from 1 species
AGAUAAUAAAGGCAAACUUACUGAAAAGUUAGGACGCAAAGCCUAGGAUCUACGGCUUCCUAGUCAUUAACGACUAGGGGCUACGAUGGCCUGGUUACCAAU